rnacentral:lncRNA from 1 species
GAUAUUUAAUUUUUUAAGAGAUGAAAGACAUAAAUGUAAUUACAAAAUCCAUAAAAAAUUGUGCUAUAAACCAAAAUUUAAUCAUGAAGUUAUGAGAAUAAAUAAAAAAUGAAAAAUGCCAGUACUUUCAAACACUUUUAAAUGAUAUAAAACAAAAGAAAUCGUCAAGUGUGUAGGAACUAUAAAAAGAUAUAUAAGACAUUUUGUUUAAAAAAAUUAAUGUAUGAAAUCUUAAUAAUUAAAAAG